AAGAGUUGCAAAACUCCCAACCCUUGUGAACCUUACCUUUACUGUUGCUUCGGCGGCUGGCGCCGGCGCCCAGAUGGGCCUGGAGGUCGCCGCCGGAGAUUCGAAACCCUGAAUUCUAGUGUAUCUCUGAGAAAGAAAACAAAAACAAAUUAA
rnacentral:misc_RNA from 1 species